ACUACAUGCUGUUCUCCCAGCAGGGGCCUCACAAGCAGUCAGGCGGCAUAGCAGCAUAGCAGGUUAGCUAACCAGGUGGUGGGCUACAUAGCAGUUUAGCUAACCAGGUGGUGGGCUACAUAGCAGGUUAGCUAACCAGGUGGUGGGCUACAUAGCAGGUUAGCUUACCAGGGGGUUGGCUAAAUAGCAGGUUAGCUAACCAGGUGGUGGGCUACAGAGCAGGUUAGCUAACCAGGUGGUGGGCUACAUAGCAGGUUAGCUAACCAGGUGGUGGGCUACAUAGCAGGUUAGCUAACCAGGUGUUGGGCUACAUAGCAGGUUAGCUUACCAGGUGGUGAGCUGCAUAGCAGGUUAGCUAACCAGGUGGUGGGCUAACUAGAA
ensembl:lncRNA